rnacentral:rRNA from 1 species
AUUGAACGCUGGCGGCAGGCCUAACACAUGCAAGUCGAACGAGUGGCGGACGGGUGAGUAAUGUCUGGGAAACUGCCUGAUGGAGGGGGAUAACUACUGGAACCGGUAGCUAAUACCGCAUACCUUCAGUUGUCCCCAGAUGGGUUUAGCUGGUUGGUGGGGUAACGCGUCACCAAGGCGACGAUCCCUAGCGGGCCUGAGAGGAUGACCAGCCACACUGGAACUGAGACACGGUCCAGACUCCUACGGGAGGCAGCAGUGGGGAAUAGUGCACAAUGGGCGCAAGCCUGAUGCAGCCAUGCCGCGUGUAUGAAGAAGGCCUUCGGGUUGUAAAGUACUUUCAGCGGGGAGGCGUUACCCGCAGAAGAAGCACCGGCUAACUCCGUGCCAGCAGCCGCGGUAAUAC